rnacentral:rRNA from 1 species
GUGAGUAACACGUGGAUAACCUACCUAUAAGACUGGGAUAACUUCGGGAAACCGGAGCUAAUACCGGAUAAUAUAUUGAACCGCAUGGUUCAAUAGUGAAAGACGGUUUUGCUGUCACUUAUAGAUGGAUCCGCGCCGCAUUAGCUAGUUGGUAAGGUGACGGCUUACCAAGGCAACGAUGCGUAGCCGACCUGAGAGGGUGAUCGGCCACACUGGAACUGAGACACGGUCCAG